UCAGGAUUGUUUCAAACCGGCACUUCUAGUGACAUUUCUCUGUUCAUCAUGUUUUCCAUAAUCAUUGGAAUCAUCGGUGGAAGAAUCAUUAAAACUGUUUGGAGAUUAGAACACAUGCUGUUACUGGCUGAAAAACUGGAAACGUCUAUCCAUGGAUCAGGAUAGCACUAAGCUUGUAUGGAAUAUUGAACGUGUUCUCUAUUCCCAUCAUUUUGUGUUGACUUUGUUACCUUGAGGAUGGUGAAACCUCAUUAUUGGGAGAGAAGCAGCAGAGAAGUGAAGCGCUUUUUGGACUAGAAUUAUUUUGUAUUAUUAUUUUACCCACUGUCCACUUUACCACAGACAUGUGGACAAGCGGUAGUGGCAAACUAAAGAUUACAUGACUGUGACAACUUACUGGGUUGGUGAAUCACCUUCAACAGCAGAAGCAGAAUCUAAUAAACAACACCAGCUCAUUCAGAGCCAGGCUACUUUGUGUAUCAUCGGCUUCACUGAGAGACAAAAACUAAGGGAUGUCAUAGCAACAUGGCUUACCUCACUUGGUCUCUCCUCAGGAUUUGCAAUCGGGGGAAUUCCAACAUGUCCCAUGUUUUGCUCACACAGUCAACUUUGUGAUAUGGCCUUUUUAAAAAAGAAAAAUGACAUGGGCAUGCAGGAGAUGCUGUCUGUGGCCUGAAAAUUUUCGGGACAUUUUCGACAUUCAUCCACAAGAUGUGGGAGAUUGCAGCACUUAUAAGAACAGUUCAAUUUGCCCAGCCACCAAAUGAAGCAAGAUCUGGUAACCUGGUGGAAUUCCACCCUUUAUAUGCUCUAGUCAAUGGAGGAACAGCAAAAAGCCAUCCAUAGCUAUACAACAAGCCAUGACAUUGGGAGAGGAGGGGGAGUGUACCUUAGCCCAGCACAGUGGAUAAUACUUUCUGUCUUGUGCAAAGUGCUUAAACCCUUUAAAGAAGCCACCUGUGAAGUGAGUUCAGACACUGCUAACUCGAGUCAGGUGAUUCCCCUAUUAGGCUUUUGGAAAAUCAGCUACAGAAAUUCAAGGAGGAGAUUAAACAAAGCAAUUCUGCAAAGUAUGUCAGACUUGUAGAUCAAGUCCUUUAUUCACUUCACCAGGAUACAAGAGUUAUCAAGAUCUUGAAAUUGGAUAACUACAUUUUGGUGACCAUGCUUGAUCCUAGAUUUAAGUCAUAUGUUGUGUCUUUCUUUCUAACUGCUUCAGAUCUUAAGAGAUGCAAAGAGCUCCUGGUAAGCAAAUUGGUAGGUCAAGUGGUACAUAACACAACAACAUCUCCUCCUUCAUUUUCUCUGGCAGCUGGCAGGAAAAAACUCAGCUUUCUCAAAUGACCCAGUGGUGAUGCAGAGAAGUCAACACAAUAUUUUGACAUCUGGUUGGGUCUAAAAGAAUUGCCUAAAAUUAGUAACACCUCUACCGUAACUCCAUCUGAUACGGUCACCAUCCAAAGGAUGACACACUAAGCAUGUCACAGAAUCUCAAUAACUACUGGCAGGAAAAAAAGGCAAUUUGGAGGCCCUUGUACAAACUGGCUUUGCAGUAUUUAGGUGCCCAUCCUACAGUGUGUACUCAGAAAGCGUUUUCAGCACAGCCGGGAACCUUACCAGCGAUCGACGUAGGAGGUUACUUCCCCAGAAUGUGGAAAGGAUGAUGUUCAUCAAAAUUAAUUCCACGAGGAAGACCUUUACGUCAAAGUACAGAGAAUUCUGUAAUGGUGGAUUUCAGCGGGGAUGAAUAGUUAUUGUGCGACGAUUAUGUACACAUUGAUGAAGGAGAGGAUGGUAGUGCCGAUUACAUUUUGCCACUGCAAAGCUGCCUUAAGCCCAUUGGUAGCUUGUUAUUGUUAUGUUAUUGAGGUUAAUAAUACUAUAGGAACAUAAAAAGGCCAAAAUUAUGUGAUUUUAGUUUUGUUUUUUAAAUCCAAAACCAGUCGAAAUCCAAAACUGAAUCCCAAACCGGGCAACAAAGUUGAAACAAAAUCAUCAAAAAUGGUCUGACGCACAUCUGUAAUUGUCAUAACAUAUAUGAUUGAUCAAU